AUUGAACGCUGGCGGCAGGCCUAACACAUGCAAGUCGAACGGCAGCACAGAAGAGCUUGCUCUUUGGGUGGCGAGUGGCGGACGGGUGAGUAAUGUCUGGGAAACUGCCCGAUGGAGGGGGAUAACUACUGGAAACGGUAGCUAACACCGCAUAACGUCGCGAGACCAAAGUGGGGGACCCCCGGGCCUCACACCAUCGGAUGUGCCCAGAUGGGAUUAGCUAGUAGGUGGGGUAAUGGCUAACCUGGGCGACAAUCCCUAGCUGGUAUGAGAGGAUGACCAGCCACACUGGAACUGAGACACGGUCCAGACUCCUACGGGAGGCAUCAGUGGGGAAUAUUGCGCAAUGGGCGCAAGCCUGAUGCAGCCAUGCCGCGUGUAUGAAGAAGGCCUUCGGGUUGUAAAGUACUUUCAGCGGGGAGGAAGGCGGUGAGGUUAAUAACCUUGCCGAUUGACGUUACCCGCAGAAGAAGCACCGGCUAACUCCGUGCCAGCAGCCGCGGUAA
rnacentral:rRNA from 1 species